AUUGAACGCUGGCGGCAGGCCUAACACAUGCAAGUCGAACGAGUGGCGGACGGGUGAGUAAUGUCUGGGAAACUGCCUGAUGGCGGGGGAUAACUACUGGAAACGGUAGCUAAUACCGCAUAACAUCAGAUGUGCCCAGAUGGGAUUAGCUCGUUGGUGGUGUAAAGGCUCACCAAGGCGACGAUCCCGAGCUGGUCUGAGAGGAUGAACAGCAACACUGGAACGUAGACACGGUCCAGACUCCGACGGGAGGCAGCAGUGGGGAAUAUUGCACAAGUGGCGCAAGCCUGAUGCAGCCAUGCCGCGUGUAUGAAGAAGGCCUUCGGGUUGUAAAGUACUGUCAGCGGGGAGGCGUUACCCGCAGAAGAAGCACCGGCUAAAUCCGUGCCAGCAGCCGCGGUAAUAC
rnacentral:rRNA from 1 species